CAAAUAUUGGUCAAAUAUAUGUAUCUCUCAAUGAAAUAGUGUGAUCAUGAAAGCUGUAGGUAUAUUCUUGGUAAAAAGGUAAGUGUGUUUGCUAUUCAAAAUAUAUAAACUGAUGUAAGUUUUUUUUUCCAUUUUGAGGACUCAGUCCACUCAGUAUGAUUCAUGUUUGCAAAUUUUCACUGAAAUAGUAAAAACAAGAAGUAAUUGUAACAGGAUGCUGUUACGAAGUCUCCCAAACAAAGCUCCCAUAACUCGCCAUUCAUAUGUUCAUCUGAUGAUUGCCCAAGAAUAUAUAUGCUUACGAUAGGAUCUCCACCAUUACAAGUAUUCAAACAGGAGGGUGGUGUGACCCCAGAAGUUACCUACAUUCAUUUGAUUUGUUUUAUUGUCCCCUACAAGAAUAUAUAUGGUUUUAGGGGGAUCUGGACCUUUACAAGAUAAUAGCACAUUCUCAAAUUGAACAGGGUGGGGCGACCCAAACUUCCCUUAAUUUCAUUUCUUUAUUUUAUUGUCCCCUACAAGAAUAUAUAUGGUUUAGGGGUGGAUGUUGACCGUUCACAAGUUUCAAAACAAGAGGGGUGGGGUGACCCCCUCCAGACUUCCCUUUUAUUUCAUUUCAUUUGUUUAUUGUCCCCCUACAAGAAUAUAUAUGGUUUAGGUGGGGAUCUGGACCGCUUAAAAGAUAAUAUACAUCUCAAAUUGAACGGGUGGGGUGACCCCCAAACUUCCAUUUAAUUUCAUGUGAUUUGUUUAUGUCCAUACAAGAAUAUGUAUGGUUUAGGGUGGGUGUUGACCGUUUACAAGUUUUCAACAAGAGGGGGGGGUGACCCCCUAGACUUCCCUCUUAUUUCAUUUCAUUUGUUUAUCCCUACAAGAUAAUAUGGUAGGUGGGGAGUUGACAUAUAAGUUUCAAACAAGAGGGGGUGGGGUGACCCCCGAGGGACUUCCCUUUAAUUUCAUUUCAUUUGUUAUUGUCCCCACAAGAAUAUAUAUGGUUUAGGGUAGAUCGACCAUUUACAAGAUAAUAGCACAUUAUGAAAAUGAACGUGGUGGAUACCCCCGGGGACCUCCCUUUAAUUGCAUUUGAUUGUUUUAUUGUCCCAAUCAGGAUAUAUAUGGUUUAGGUGGGGAUCUGGAUCGGUUACAAGAUAUAAGCAUAUUCUCAAAUUGAAGGGGUGGGAUGAACUCCAGACUCCCCCUAUAUUUCAUGUGAUUUUUUUAUUGUCUAUAAUCAUUUCUGAAGACUGCAUGUAUCUACCACUACAGUUUUCAAGUUAUAUUCAUUUGAAAUUUUUAGAAAAUAUCCCAUAGGCGUUCUAUAGUAAAACCCUCCCUUCUUCUACCCCCAAAAUAGCCCUUAAUAGACCCAAUGCACAAACGAAAGAUUGAUGGCUCACCUAGACUAGGUCUACCAUUUUACGAAAUUCUAAGUCAAUCUGACAAGCUUUGGAGAAACGCUGCGGACAAGUUCAUUUUAAAGUGGCGGAAAGAAGAGAAGAAGAGAGAAGAAGAAUAAUAAAAAUAAUUAAGAACUGAGCAAAAACAAUAAGUCCAAACUUUGUUUGGGAGACUUAAUAAGUUUAAACAAAAAAAGAAUAAACAAGCUCAAAAUUUCAUUUUCCCCUAAAUAAUGAAAAGAAUAAUAU
rnacentral:lncRNA from 1 species